rnacentral:rRNA from 1 species
UGGGCAAGAGCCUGAACCAGCCAAGUCGCGUGAAGGAAGACAGUCCUAAGGAUUGUAAACUUCUUUUAUACGGGAAUAACGGGCGAUACGAGUAUUGCAUUGAAUGUACCGUAAGAAUAAGCAUCGGCUAACUCCGUGCCAGCAGCCGCGGUAAU